CCCUUCUUUUGAGGAACACUCCAAGUAUUGUUUUGGGGGGUUGGGGCUGGGGAAAACUGCUAGACUAAGAUGAAAAUUUUACAAUGUUAACAUUUCUCUCUCUGUUCCAUUUGACAAUCAUUAUACAUUCUUGUUCUUCAUUGAGGGACAUUGAAGAAUCGUUGAGAAGAGCAGUUAACGGGAGAUA